AUUGAACGCUGGCGGCAGGCCUAACACAUGCAAGUCGAGCGAGCGGCGGACGGGUGAGUAAUGUCUGGGGACUGCCCGAUAGAGGGGGAUAACUACUGGAAACGGUAGCUAAUACCGCAUACUAUCGGAUAACCCAUAUGGGAUUAGCUCGUAGGUAAGGUAAUGGCUCACCUAGGCGACGAUCCCUAGCUGGUCUGGGAGGAUGAUCAGCAGCACUGGGACUGAGACACGGCCAAGACUCCUACGGAGGCAGCAGUGGGGAAUAUUGCGCAAUGGGAGCAAGCCUGAUGCAGCCAUGCCGCGGGUAUGAAGAAGGCCAUAGGGUUGUAAAGUACUUUCAGUAGGGAGGCGUUACCGACAGAAGAAGCACCGGCUAACUCCGUGCCAGCAGCCGCGGUAAUUC
rnacentral:rRNA from 1 species